UAGGGAAUCUUCGGCAAUGGACGGAAGUCUGACCGAGCAACGCCGCGUGAGUGAAGAAGGUUUUCGGAUCGUAAAGCUCUGUUGUUAGAGAAGAACGUUGGUAGGAGUGGAAAAUCUACCAAGUGACGGUAACUAACCAGAAAGGGACGGCUAACUACGUGCCAGCAGCCGCGGUAAUACGUAGGUCCCGAGCGUUGUCCGGAUUUAUUGGGCGUAAAGCGAGCGCAGGCGGUUCAUUACGUCUGAAGUUAAAGGCAGUGGCUUAACCAUUGUACGCUUUGGAAACUGGAGGACUUGAGUGCAGAAGGGGAGAGUGGAAUUCCAUGUGUAGCGGUGAAAUGCGUAGAUAUAUGGAGGAACACCGGUGGCGAAAGCGGCUCUCUGGUCUGUAACUGACGCUGAGGCUCGAAAGCGUGGGGAGCAAACAGG
rnacentral:rRNA from 1 species